rnacentral:rRNA from 1 species
AACGAACGCUGGCGGCAUGCCUAACACAUGCAAGUCGAACGCUCCGCAAGGGGAGUGGCGCACGGGUGAGUAACACGUGGGAACCUGCCUAUCGGUUCGGAACAACGUUUGGAAACGAACGCUAAUACCGGAUAUUCCCUCAGGGGGAAAGAUUUAUCGCCGAUAGAGGGGCCCGCGUCCGAUUAGGUAGUUGGUGGGGUAAUGGUCUACCAAGCCGACGAUCGGUAGCUGGUCUGAGAGGAUGAUCAGCCACACUGGGACUGAGCCACGGCCCACACUCCUACGGGAGGAGGCAGUGGGGAAUAUUGGACAAUGGGCGCAAGCCUGAUCCAGCAAUUCCGCGUGAGUGAUGAAGGCCUUAGGGUUGUAAAGCUCUUUCGAACGUGACGAUGAUGACGGUAACGUGAGAAGAAGCCCCGGCUAACUUCGUGCCAGCCGCCGCCGUAA